UCUGGGUGCGGUGGCACAUGCCUGUAGUCCCAGCUACUGGGGAGGCUGAGGCUGGAGUAUUGCUUGAGGCCAGGAGUUCUGGGCUGUAGUGUGCUAUGCCAAUUGGGUGUCCGCACCAAGUUUGACAUCAAUAUGGUGACCUCCUGGGAGCAGGGGACCACCAGGUUGCCCAAGGAAGGGUGAACUGGUCCAGACUGAAAAUGGAGCAGGUCAAAACUCCCAUGCUGAUCAGUAGUGGGAUCGCACCUGUGAAUAGCCACUGUGCUCCAGCCUGGGCAACAUAGCGAGAACAUCCCCGAU
rnacentral:SRP_RNA from 1 species